rnacentral:rRNA from 1 species
GACGAACGCUGGCGGCGUGCUUAACACAUGCAAGUCGAACGGAAAGGCCCUGCUUUUGUGGGAUGCUCGAGUGGCGAACGGGUGAGUAACACGUGAGUAACCUGCCCUUGACUUUGGGAUAACUUCAGGAAACUGGGGCUAAUACCGGAUAGGAGCUCCUGCUGCAGGGUGGGGGUUGGAAAGUUUCGGCGGUUGGGGAUGGACUCGCGGCUUAUCAGCUUGUUGGUGGGGUAGUGGCUUACCAAGGCUUUGACGGGUAGCCGGCCUGAGAGGGUGACCGGCCACAUUGGGACUGCGGUACGGCCCAGACGCCUACGGGAGGCAGCAGUGGGGAAUAUUGCACAAUGGGCGGAAGCCUGAUGCAGCAACGCCGCGUGCGGGAUGACGGCCUUCGGGUUGUAAACCGCUUUCGCCUGUGACGAAGCGUGAGUGACGGUAAUGGGUAAAGAAGCACCGGCUAACUACGUG